UGCGUAGGCGGCUAAAUAAGCCAGAGGUGAAAGGCUACGGCUCAACCGUAGUAAGCCUUUGGAACUGUAUGGCUUGAGUGCAGGAGAGGAGAGUGGAAUUCCUAGUGUAGCGGUGAAAUGCGUAGAUAUUAGGAGGAACACCAGUGGCGAAGGCGACUCUCUGGACUGCAACUGACGCUGAGGCACGAAAGCGUGGGGAGCGAACA
rnacentral:rRNA from 1 species